rnacentral:lncRNA from 1 species
UGGAGCCUCAGCGUAACAGCGAAUCAGUCCUCUCACCUGGUCAGCUACUCAUGGUCCCAGAUGGCUGUGCAGCCCCAGGCUCCCAGUGUCAGGAAAGGAAGAUAAGGGCCCAGGUCCUGCUCUAAAGAAGAUCUGGAUGCCACCCAGCAGGUCCUUCCUACAAGCUCCACUUCUGGGAUGCCAUGCCCUGAGCUUCCUGUAAGCUCCACUUCCGUGAUGACCCUGUGCCGUGAUGCCCUGCCUUGGAGCCAGCUGACUAUGGACUGAACCUCUCCAAACUGUGAGCCAGAAUGAACCUCUCCUCCUUUAACUUGUGGGUGUUGGGUACUGCAUCCCAGCGGUGAGGACAGUGACUUUGGUAUCAG